GACGAACGCUGGCGGCGUGCCUAAUACAUGCAAGUUGAGCGCUGAAGGUUGGUACUUGUACCAACUGGAUGAGCAGCGAACGGGUGAGUAACGCGUGGGGAAUCCGCCUUUGAGCGGGGGACAACAUUUGGAAACGAAUGCUAAUACCGCAUAAAAACUUUAAACACAAGUUUUAAGUUUGAAAGAUGCAAUUGCAUCACUCAAAGAUGAUCCCGCGUUGUAUUAGCUAGUUGGUGAGGUAAAGGCUCACCAAGGCGAUGAUACAUAGCCGACCUGAGAGGGUGAUCGGCCACAUUGGGACUGAGACACGGCCCAAACUCCUACGGGAGGCAGCAGUAGGGAAUCUUCGGCAAUGGACGAAAGUCUGACCGAGCAACGCCGCGUGAGUGAAGAAUGUUUUCGGAUCGUAAAACUCUGUUGGUAGAGAAGAACGUUGGUGAGAGUGGAAAGCUCAUCAAGUGACGGUAACUACCCAGAAAGGGACGGCUAACUACGUG
rnacentral:rRNA from 1 species